UUCUUUAAUUAAUAUUUAGGAUUCAACAAUUUAAGUUUAGUAACGACCGGAAUCUUCUUUUUUUUCUCGCUGAAACCUCCCGUGUCCUUCCCUUGUGUCUCGCUUCUUUCUCAUCCUUUCUGUCUAUUUUCUUUAUAUUUAUUAUAUUACUAUCUGUUGCUUUUAUUUUUAUUUUCUAACAUUGAGAGAGAGAGAGAGAGAGAGAGAGAGAGAUAGCCCAUUUUGACUGCCUUUGUCUGCUUCGGAUCUGGGGUUUUCUCUCUUUCUCUACAAGGGUUUUGUUAGUUUUUGUGAUUAAUUUUGAGAUUGACAGCCUGGGUUUCGGAAGGAGUCAAAGGUUGAGGCUUUUUUAGUGAAAAGGGCAAGUUAGUUUGCUAUUACUGUGGACUCUGUAUGUCUUCAUUUGCGAGUUAUAACUGGAAAGUGUUGUUUACUUGCUGAAGUUGGAUAUCUUUAUCGUCAAUGCUCGCAGUGCUCUGUACUUUAUCAUGUAAAAAAAGGUUAAUUUCGUAUGAUGGGUUGACUUUGAGGUUUAAUUUCUUUUAGCGGUCUUGUUCUUGUGAAUCUAUUUUGGGCUUUAAUUGUUUAGAGUGAGAAAUUGAAGACAUCAGACUGGCUUUGGUUGCUAGAAAUAGAUCAAAUGGCUCCAAGAGAUAGAGAUUUUGUGGUUGAUCUUGAAAGUGGGGUGAGAAAUAGUGUUGAAGAUUCAUGUAAAGAUGCAGGUUCAGGAGUAAAAACACCAACAAAGCCGUUGCUUGCUAAUGUUUGUGGGGCAUUCGCUGAUGGGACAGCCAAUGGUGAAGAGAGGGUAAAUUUGUGUGGCUACGUGUCAGACUCUGGUGGUGGUUCUGCAGACCAUGCGAAGUUGGAGGGUGAAAUAUCUGUUGAUCAAGUAGAGAAGAAAAUGGUAAAGGGGAAGCAUAAAAAAACGAGCAAUAAAAAGCCUCCUAGGCCUCCACGAGGUCCAUCAUUGGAUGCUGCUGACCAGAAGCUGAUCAAGGAGAUUUCUGAACUAGCCAUGUUGAAGCGUGCAAGGAUUGAGCGGAUGAAGGCCUUGAAGAAAUUAAAAGCUACAAAGCCAUCAUCCAAUAACAAUCUAUUUGCCGUGGUGCUCACCAUUCUAUUUUGCCUUGUGAUUCUCUUUCAAGUUUCAUGCAAUUCAUUUUGCAGGAAUGUCAUCCAGAGCUACAUCUGCAAGCUCAAUGGGAUCUCCUGUGUCAUCAGAGACAGCUGGUGAUGGUUUAAUUUCAGUUCAAUACUUUGGGAAUCCAUCUGCAAGCGAGUCUAAUGGACCUGGGUCUGGAUAUCCGAACUUCAUAGAAACAAUUGCUGGUUCAGAUCCUCCCAAAAAUCCAAGAACUGUGCGAUGAGUGGGGAAAAGAAGACAGUUACUGUAAUCAAGCUUGUAUUGUUGAAAGAAAUUUACCUGCUUUCUUGCACUCCUCAUGCAAGCCAUAUACUUGCACUUUUUGUACCAGUAUCCCUCCAAGAUCAAAGUUUGUCGUGUAAUUUAUCCCUUACAUGCAUAGUGUUUGGAAUGAGUUAGAUUACCGUAAAAGUUUACUGGUGGAUUUUUGGCGAAAAACAGUUUUGUGCUGUGGCCUUUUAGGUUGAGCCAGUUAUGAUAAGUUCCCUCCUUACAGCGGACUUACUGUAUAAUUCUCCAUAAUGAAACAAAGGCAGGUUUGUUUGUGAA